UACGUAGGGCGCAAGCGUUGUCCGGAAUUAUUGGGCGUAAAGAGCUCGUAGGCGGCUUGUUGCGUCGGUUGUGAAAGCCCGGGGCUUAACCCCGGGUCUGCAGUCGAUACGGGCAGACUAGAGGUAGGCAGGGGAGAGCGGAACUCCUGGUGCAGCGGUGAAAUGCGCAGAUAUCAGGAGGAACACCGGUGGCGAAGGCGGAUCUCUGGGCCAUUACUGACGCUGAGGAGCGAAAGCGUGGGGAGCGAACAGG
rnacentral:rRNA from 1 species